rnacentral:rRNA from 1 species
AGCAGCCGCGGUAAUUCCAGCUCCAAUAGCGUAUAUUAAAGUUGUUGCAGUUAAAAAGCUCGUAGUUGAAUUUCGGGGUUCUACCGUUGGUCGGGCUUUGUCUGUACUGGCGUGUAGAUUUUCUACCUUCUGGGGAACCAUCAUGUUAUUAAUUUAACGUGGUGGGAAACCAGGACCUUUACCUUGAAAAAAUUAGAGUGUUCAAAGCAGGCUUAUGUCUGAAUACAUUAGCAUGGAAUAAUAAAAUAGGACGGUGGUCCUGUUUUGUUGGUUUCUGAAUCACCGUAAUGAUUAAUAGGGAUAGUUGGGGGCAUUAGUAUUCAAUUGUCAGAGGUGAAAUUCUUGGAA